GAAAUGCGAUAAGUAGUGUGAAUUGCAGAAUUCAGUGAAUCAUCGAAUCUUUGAACGCACAUUGCGCCCCUUGGUAUUCCAUGGGGCAUGCCUGUUCGAGCGUCAUUUGUACCCUCAAGCUUUGCUUGGUGUUGGGCGUUUUGUCUCCCCCUGGGAGACUCGCCUUAAAACAAUUGGCAGCCGGCAUAUUGGUAUCGGAGCGCAGCACAAGUCGCGCUUCUUUCCAUGAAUGUCAGCGUCCAUCAAGACUAUUUUCACUCUUGACCUCGGAUCAGGUAGGGAUACCCGCUGAGUUUAA
rnacentral:misc_RNA from 1 species